AUCGCUUCUCAGCCUUUUGGCUAAGAUCAAGUGUAGUAUCUGUUCUUAUCAGUUUAAAAUCUGAUAUGUCCUCUAUCCGAGGACAAUAUAUU
rnacentral:snRNA from 1 species